rnacentral:rRNA from 1 species
UGCGUAGGUGGCCUUUUAAGUUGGAUGUGAAAUACCCGGGCUUAACUUGGGGGGUGCAUCCAAUACUGGAGGGCUAGAGUGCAGGAGAGGGAAGCGGAAUUCCUAGUGUAGCGGUGAAAUGCGUAGAUAUUAGGAGGAACACCAGUGGCGAAGGCGGCUUUCUGGACUGUAACUGACACUGAGGCACGAAAGCGUGGGGAGCAAACA